rnacentral:rRNA from 1 species
CCUACGGGUGGCAGCAGUGGGGAAUAUUGCACAAUGGGGGAAACCCUGAUGCAGCGACGCCGCGUGAGUGAAGAAGCGUUUCGGCGCGUAAAGCUCUGUUAGCGGGGAAGAAACACGGUUCUCGAGAGCGGCCGACGGUACCUCUUGAAUAAGCCACAGCUAACUACGCGCCAGCAGCCGCGGUAAUACGUAGGUGGCAAGCGUUGUCCGGAUUUACUGGGUGUAAAGGGCGUGCAGCCGGGACGGCAAGUCUGAUGUGAAAUCCCGCGGCUCAACCGCGGAACUGCAUUUGAAACUGUUAGUCUUGAGUACCGGAGAGGUGAGCGGAAUUCCAUGUGUAGCGGUGAAAUGCGUAGAUAUAAGGAAGAACACCAGUGGCGAAGGCGGAUGACUGGACGGCAACUGACGGUGAGGCGCGAAAGCGUGGGGAGCAAACAGGAUUAGAUACCCGAGUAGUC